rnacentral:tRNA from 1 species
GGGUCGGUGCCCGAGUGGCCAAAGGGAGCGGACUGUAAAUCCGUCGGUUACGCCUACGUAGGUUCAAAUCCUACCCGGCCCA